rnacentral:snoRNA from 1 species
ACAAAUGAUGAUUUUUGGCAGGCCUAUGCCCCCAAGUCUCUGACUAUUGCAUGUCAGGACAAACUAUAGCCCCCAACCAUUUUCUGGCUUCUGUGCCCAUAGGCACUUGGCACUGAAGCAAUUUACACAAUA